UACGUAGGGCGCAAGCGUUAUCCGGAAUCAUUGGGCGUAAAGCGCGUGUAGGCGGCCCGGUAAGUCCGCUGUGAAAGUCGGGGGCUCAACCCUCGAAUGCCGGUGGAUACUGUCGGGCUAGAGUGCGGAAGAGGCGAGUGGAAUUCCUGGUGUAGCGGUGAAAUGCGCAGAUAUCAGGAGGAACACCAAUUGCGAAGGCAGCUCGCUGGGACGUGACUGACGCUGAGACGCGAAAGCGUGGGGAGCAAACAGG
rnacentral:rRNA from 1 species